ensembl:lncRNA LYRM4-AS1 LYRM4 antisense RNA 1
GGAAUAGAGUGUGCCAACAGCUUAGAUAUAGAGUGUGAGAGAGAAGAGUGGAGGCUGGUUCUCAGGCUCCAGAAGCAUAAGCCUGCAUGGAGCAUAGCGUCACUGAGCAAGACAGGUGUGGAGGAUGAGAAGCGGGCCACAGGAUGGGAAGGGAAUCUGUGUGGAGGCGGUGCCCUAAACAUGCUGCCUUGAGGAGGGACCUCUACAUGGGGUGGCCGGGCACAGCCAGGACUUCGUUAUAAAGUAAGGCCUGUGCCCUAGAUGUCCCUGGAGACAGCGCCAUCUGGUGGAACUUCCUGUAACGAUCGAGAUGUUCCGUCUGUGCCGUCCAACAUGGGAGCCAUGCAGGACACAUGGUGACUGAGCACUGGGACUGUGUGCCGCGUGACCAAGAGCAGCUCAGCUCUAAAGUCUCCUCCAGCUUUAUGAUGUCACUUCCUGUAUCUUCUCUACACAUUCUUUCCUUCAGCCUGUUGUUUGCUACCCAUGGGGACCUCAACAGCUUUGCCAUUGCACACUAUCUUUGCAGACAAGAUCUUAAUCACAUCCAACUUUCUGCAGUUGCACAGGGUACCUCAGACCCACAUCCCAGAUGACAUUCCUCAGAAGCUCGCAGCUGGAGAUGACAUCACCUUAGACAACAUCACCCUAGCCCAAGACAUCGCUAUUAGAGAUACAUCACCUGGACACUAAAGCCUCCAACCCAGUGACACUCUCAAGGUGCUGACAAAAUGGACAUGGACAUUUGUUGCUUUUCUUCUUUUGAAUUAGGAACUCUAUUGUGUUUCCUGAAUUUACUGUCUGCUUGGCCCAUGAUCCUGGUAUGUUCCUUGCUCUCUGCCAAAACAUGCACCGUCCCCUCCACACCUAAAGGAAAACCUGGUAGAAGCUACUACUCUCAAUGCCAUUCUAAAAUUGACGAAGAGUAUUAUUUUCCCCAAGAGGCAGCUGCUGCAGGCCAGUGAAUCCUCUGGACCCUGGGGAGAGGGUCAUACACUCCCUAGUGACUUCUACUGUAUGCUCCAGCUUUCCACCAGGACCUCCUGCCCUGUCCCCAACUGUAACGACCACAACCACCCCAUCCCCUUGGUUACACACAAAUAUCACCAGUCUUUACAUGUACUUUACUGACUUCUCAGAUAAUACCCUCCAACAAGAUAACUGCAGGACUUGCCACCAUGACCUGAGAAAUACACCAAGAUAUUAUUGUCCAAUUUUUUUGAGAUAUAUAUAUAUUUCUCAUACUUUUAACAUACUCUGCAAUCCACCAAGAUAUUGGUAGAGACCCUGGAAAUUUCAAAUCUAUUUCGUCUGCUAAUGCCAUGUGAAUGGGAAACUUAGAUACAGGCUGGCCUACAAGGACUCCUUAUACUUCAAUUUUUGUUCCUCCUUUCAACUCUCAUAAAAAAUAUUUUCUGUACUAUUUAGGGCAAA